UUUUAAGUGACAAAAUAAUAGAUAUUUAACUUGUAGGUAUAUAUGUACAGCCUAGAGUGUGCAUGUGUAUAUUAAUUUUUUUACUUUCUAAUUUUUUUUAGAUGUCACCUAAGAAAGUAAGCAAACAAGGACAAAUAAUUCACAGCCAAGGGAGAGAGAUUAUUUCUAACGUGGCAGCUUUUAUGAAAAAAGAAGCAGAGCAAGGAAUUACUAUUCCUUUGAGAAAUGUUAUACAACGUACGUUAGCUGCCACUCGAGUAUCCCAGUCAACUUACAGAAGAGUGGUCCAAGAGUCAGAAGAUAUAGAAAAUAAACCUUACUGUUCCUUUACCAGUCCAAGGAAAAAAAGGUUAAGAAAAUCUCAGAAGAUUGGUAACAUUACUUUGACCCAAAUUAAAGAUAUAAAACAAAUAGUGUAUGAUUUCUACAUAGUUGAAAAAAGAAGACCUACUCUAAAAUUAAUACUUCAAAAGCUUCUUGAUCGGGCUAUUAUUUAAGAGCCUAUAAGUACACCAAUCUUAUCAAAAUUGCUGAAAAAAAUUUAGAUGGACCAAAACGGAAGAUAACAGAAAAGCUCUUAUGGAAUCUUACGACAUACGAUUGAAAAGGAUCAAAUAUUUAAAGCAAAUUUUUAAAUAUAAAGAGGACGGCCGUAAUAUUGUACAUACUGAUGAAAGUUACAUACAUAGCAGUCAUACAAAGGACAAAGGGUGGUUUGAUGAAAGUCGACAUGGAAUUAGAAAACCCAUUUCCAAAGGACAGAGACUUAUAAUUCUUCAUGCUGGAGGAAGAAAUGGUUUCGUAAAUAAUGGGUUACUGAUUUUUCGCUCAGGAUAAAAAGCGGAGACUAUCAUGACGACAUGAACCAUCACAACUUCAUGAAAUGGGUCGAAAAUCAGUUAAUUCCAAAUUUACUACCUAAUUCCGUCCUAGUAUUAGACAAUGCAGCUUAUCACAAUGUGCCUGUAGUCAAGAAUGUUACAUCUGGAAGUAAAAAGCAGGAAAUAGUUGACUGGCUCAAGGAACGUAAUUUUACAUUUGAUGCAAAACUCACCAAGACUUAGACUCACAAGAGUUAUAUGAAAUAGUGUCUGAAAAUAAAAAAAAAGUAUCCUGUAAAAACCAAGUUGGACGACCUAAUGGAAAAGCAUGGACACAUUGUGUUAGGUUUGCCUCCAUACCACCCAGAGCUUAAUCCGAUAGAAAAAAAUUGGGCAACUGUUAAGUACAAUGCCCAAACUUUUUCCAAAUUUUCAAAAUUGGGUGGCAAGCAGAAAUUCCACUUUUAAAUUGGCGGAUGUCGAAACUUUGACAAGGCAGAAAUUUGCGGAAAUUUCGAAUGAUGAGUGGAUAAAUAUUUGCAACCAUAUAGACAACAUAGAAAAACAAUAUUUCGAAAGUUAUCACCUUUUUGAUGAAGCAUUGGAUUCUUUAAAAUUUACAGUAAAUACAGGCUCAUCUGAUGAAGAGAUCAAAUGGUCUUCAUCAUCUCCCAUCUGAUGAAGAGAUCGAAUGGUCUUCAUCAGAUGAAUCUGAUUUAGGUUGUAAUACACUAUCUGAUGAAUAAAAAUAAUAUGUAAAAUAAUGAAAUAAAACUUUAAGCUUA
rnacentral:lncRNA from 1 species